rnacentral:rRNA from 1 species
AAGUUGACGGGGCCCGCACAAGCGGUGGAGUAUGUGGUUUAAUUCGAUGCAACGCGAAGAACCUUACCUGGUCUUGACAUCCCGGAGACCCUUAGGAAACUAGGGGGUGCUUCCAUCUGGAAGAAUCUGGAGACAGGUGCUGCAUGGCUGUCGUCAGCUCGUGUCGUGAGAUGUUGGGUUAAGUCCCGCAACGAGCGCAACCCUUGCCUUUAGUUGCCAGCAGUUCGGCUGGGCACUCUAAAGGGACUGCCGGUGUUAAACCGGAGGAAGGUGGGGAUGACGUCAAGUCCUCAUGGCCUUUAUGACCAGGGCUACACACGUACUACAAUGGCCGAUACAAAGGGCAGCGACACUGCGAGGUGAAGCCAAUCCCGUAAAAUCGGUCUCAGUCCGGAUUGGAGUCUGCAACUCGACUCCAUGAAGUUGGAAUCGCUAGUAAUCGUGGAUCAGCAUGCCACGGUGAAUACGUUCCCGGGCCUU